GGCAUUUCACAUCUUCCAGCCAGGCUUCCUGGAUCUAGGAAAUGUUAUUCCUGACUCCUUUGACCCAGAUGCCUGCAACAACACAUUUCACAACCUGAGCUGGAAAUGGGAACAAUUUGUGUCUACCUACAUCAGGGAAGCUGAUGCGAAAUAAGAGGUAAAUAGACGUGGAUCUCAAAGUCUUUCCCUGUCGUAAAACUGAAUGAGCACUUUGUUCCGAAGAUCACCUGUGACAGAGACAAAUGAAAUGGCAGGGCGUUACACUGGAAGCCCUCCCUCAUAUCCACUAGAUCAACCGAUUGUUCUCUGGCUACAGACUGAACUCAAUUCACCCUUGUUUUUGGAGUGCCCAGCAUGGCCACAGAGAUGAGGAACAUUUUCAGUCUUCAACAGAAUAGACCUUUGCCACAUUUGACCUUGGGGCCGACAUACUUCCUGUCUUUAGGGUUCUACUGGGUCAGUCUUCUGGAUUACUGGAUGCCUUUAUUGAUGUGUUUGCUAGACGAGAUUAAGUCAGUGGAGUGAGUAAUUGUCUUCUGAAUAUGGUUUUUCUACCGUGACUACCCUCCUUUCUUCUGCCCUUCAUUCAGCCCAUCGGUCAUGGCUGUUAACAGAACAGUUUUUCCCCCCUUGUGGAAAAGACUUGGGAGUAUUUGGAAAGUUCCAUGACAAUCUUCUGUAAGUGAUGACUGAUGUUCUGUCUUUGCCUUAUUCUUGUUCCAGUGCUGACAAAACGCAUGGUAUAUAGCCCUGGCCGUUCAGUGUCACCUUUACUUCACCUUGUCUAUGACAUUGUGUAGGGGAUGGCUAAGAAGUCCUGAACUGCCCUCAAAAUCAGUAUAUGCAGAUGAGCAUGGGCGGGGCAUUUUCUGCAGUUCACUGAAAGCCACACUACUUCAAGGCUGGUCACAGACUUGAGUGGCAUCUGGGUGACACCUUGUGUGUUCCCACAUUUGUACUAUACUUUAUUAGCUUCCAUAUUUGCAGAGUCUGAGAUUUAAAAAGAAUGUGUGAACUGUACAGAACAUUCCAGCCUGAGCGUGGGGGUCCUGAAAAAUCCUCAUACCGAAAACAGAGAGGGAACACAAUAUACAGGAGCAUGCAUACAUCACAGGAAGAAGGUUCCUGCAGCAAAAUAUGAUGCGCCUGGAGGGGCUGCACGGUCCUGGCUGUACAGGAAGCAGGAUGAAUUCUAGUCAGCCUCUCACUCACUCACUGUCUGCCUUUCUUUGGAGGAUGUACUAAGUUCUAUGAACCUUAAUUUACUUACUUGGCAAUGUAGAUAAUGUACCCAAGUCCACGAUAGGAGGAAGAAAUGUAGAAUUGCUGACUCACUGUCUCACAUACAAGGAACUGUGUAAUAGCUUCCCCUUCCCCUAAUUUAUUUUUAGUCAGAAAGCAUCCCCAAUUCUAAAACUCAGAAUGUACUAACCAUCUGGUUUGAGACUUUUCUGAAAUCCUGGUGAAAUAAAGUUUUAUAAAGUGUC